AACGCUAGCACAGGCUUAACACAUGCGAGUCGAGGGGCAGCAUGGUCUUAGCUUGCUAAGGCCGAUGGCGACCGGCGCACGGGUGAGUAACACGUAUCCAACCUGCCGUCUACUCUUGGACAGCCUUCUGAAAGGAAGAUUAAUACAAGAUGGCAUCAUGAGUCCGCAUGUUCACAUGAUUAAAGGUAUUCCGGUAGACGAUGGGGAUGCGUUCCAUUAGAUAGUAGGCGGGGUAACGGCCCACCUAGUCUUCGAUGGAUAGGGGUUCUGAGAGGAAGGUCCCCCACAUUGGAACUGAGACACGGUCCAAACUCCUACGGGAGGCAGCAGUGAGGAAUAUUGGUCAAUGGGCGAGAGCCUGAACCAGCCAAGUAGCGUGAAGGAUGACUGCCCUAUGGGUUGUAAACUUCUUUUAUAAAGGAAUAAAGUCGGGUAUGGAUACCCGUUUGCAUGUACUUUAUGGAUAAGGAUCGGCUAACUCCGUGCCAGCAGCCGCGGUAAUACGGAGGAUCCGAGCGUUAUCCGGAUUUAUUGGGUUUAAAGGGAGCGUAGAUGGAUGUUUAAGUCAGUUGUGAAAGUUUGCGGCUCAACCGUAAAAUUGCAGUUGAUACUGGAUAUCUUGAGUGCAGUUGAGGCAGGCGGAAUUCGUGGUGUAGCGGUGAAAUGCUUAGAUAUCACGAAGAACUCCGAUUG
rnacentral:rRNA from 1 species